GACGAACGCUGGCGGCGUGCUUAACACAUGCAAGUCGAACGGAAAGGCCUGCUUUCCCUUGUGGAUUGCGGGUACUCGAGUGGCGAACGGGUGAGUAACACGUGAGUGAUCUGCCCCCAACUUGGGUAUAAGCCUGGGAAACUGGGUCUAAUUCCCGAUAGGACUGCAGGGUGGUGCCUGUGGUGGAAAACGAUUUUCUAGUGGUUGGGGAUGAGCUCGCGGCCUAUCAGCUUGUUGGUGGGGUAAUGGCCUACCAAGGCGGCGACGGGUAGCCGGCCUGAGAGGGUGGACGGCCACAUUGGGACUGAGAUACGGCCCGGACUCCUACGGGAGGCAGCAGUGGGGAAUAGUGCACAAUGGGCGGAAGCCUGAUGCAGCGACGCCGCGUGGGGGAUGACGGCCUUCGGGUUGUAAACUCCUUUCGACCGCGAGGAAGCCACCUGGUUGGAAGGGUGGUGACGGUAGUGGUAGAAGAAGCACCGGCUAACUACGUG
rnacentral:rRNA from 1 species